rnacentral:ncRNA from 1 species
GACAUGACGUUGACAGGGACAGUACAAUUUUUCUAAAACUUUCUUAAGCGAGCCGGGGAUGGUGAAAGCCUGGUAAAGCAGAAAAAUUGGAAGAUCACCCUCGAGUUCCGGACCGAAUUCCUUAACGGAUAGUAGGCUCAGGCGUAUUAUUCACGUUACGAAUGGUUAAGAGGAUAGUACUGUUUUUCGUGCCGUACUAUUUAUCAGGGUGGUACCGCGGGAAUUAAACCUUCUCGUCCCUAUU